rnacentral:lncRNA from 1 species
GCAGCUCAUCCGAUCGACUUCCAUUCCUGUCCUGCCUGGACCGGUGAUUCAACUCUUUCAGACCCUCCCGCCCUACCUCGCGGAAAAGAUGAGUACUAGACUGGUAAGAGGGGACCUUGCAAAACAAAAUUCCUCCCUUGUCCGAUCAACCAUCUCCACCUCCCCCACCACCGUAUCCUUAGCAGUCGAGUAAAGACCUGAACCCGCUGACGGAAGUGAUCGAUUAUCCACUGGUGGGUGAGCGAAGAAAGAGAUGACUUUUAGGGUAGAGAUAGAAGGCGCUUUUAGAAUGAGAUAGCUCUUUGCUUCUUCUUCCCUUGAGGUUUAGGACUGGCUAUGAACUUCCUUACCUCACAGUGAGUGUACUUAGGACUCACCGCUUCUUGUUUUUAGUUGGAUGUAGCUAGGGUAGGUGGAUUCUGAAUAGAUAAACCCGAGACUUCUUCCCGUAGGCAGAUAGAAGUAUUCGAUGGUAGCUCUCUUCCUUUGAUCUCUUUUCUACGCUCGUUCCUGCCAGAAAGAAGGAUGGCUUCGAGUAGUGCUGUGAUCUGAAGUAGGCGCAUUGACAGUGUUCCUUCACCAGAUGAUGUACCCGAUUUACGGCACCUGGUUCGUCAGUGUUUUCACCCUCUUCCGACUGAAAAUCACAUCUACUAUUAGAUUGAGAUAUAGAAUAGAUAGAAUUCGACAUCUCUAUUAUACGAAAAGACUUGGUCUAGAAUCUUUGUUAUGUUAUUACUAGGAAGGCGGGCUAUUGAUCUAUUUAGGAAGUGGGCUCAAUACUGAGAUAUCCUCAACUUAUACGUUGGUCGAUAGAAUUUGUGCUAAUCUAGAGCUGAGGAAGAGCAAGAAAAGAGGAUUGAGGGCAAAGGCAGAAGGAUUUCAUUACUCUGGCUGCCGAAAGUGGUAGACCUUCUUCAUUUCUUCACCAUUGCCAAGUCCCCCCGGCGAAUGCACGGGUCAUAUGGUGCAUCACAGGGGCCUGGAGAACUGGUAAAAGGAAUCGUUUCGUUAGAGAAGACUGUGUCUGAGCAAGCAAUUUCCACAAUGUACCCUGGGAAGGUUGGAGAGGUCGAGUCGCGAAAGCACUCAACUGACGAGGAGAUUGAAUCCGCGAAACCUUUUAUUAAAUAGGAUGCUUCUCCGCGCCAGGAUAUGAAUGAAUAAGUUUCCUACAGAAAGAAGUUCCUAAUCUCUGCCAUUGCAAAACCCCGACAUAUUGGUCUCAAUCCUAAUCCGUCCCGCCUCCCGGCAAGGACAAGAAGUGAACGCCAAAAGGUCAGAUAGUCUAAAAGGGAGGACUGCUCAGCUACUUAAUAUGGGCCCCGAUGACACAAACAACGUCAUCACCAAAGAUCACAUAAGCCCGCUCUGCUGUCAGGCUUAGAAAGUGCAGACUGAGAUGCAAGGAGAAGAGGUCAAGAGAGGCGUGGUAGCACAAAAGCAGUCCUAUAUAAUGAAACCUAGUCUGCUGCUCGCUUGUCAUGAGCGGCGGUGGGCGCACUGUAGACAGCUUAUGACCCACAGGGUCGAAUUCGCCAAAGCGGAGGCCAAUAAUGGGCCAAACAGCGUCAUCAUCAGAUGAGAAAUCACGAUUAGGGGCCGCUGAUCAAAGGCAGGCAUGGGAUCAAGACUAAACCAAUUUGUUCAGGCCCACCACCAAAUGGUUGAAGGGGUUACCCCGUUCGGAGAGACAGAGAUAUACAAGAAUCAGAGGAAGCGAGCCUUAAGCAGUGAUUGAUAGGCUCCCAUCCCUUUCUGCUAGCCCGCGUGGAAAGCGAAGCUAACCUGACGGACUGCCC